rnacentral:rRNA from 1 species
CCUACGGGUGGCAGCAGUGAGGAAUAUUGGUCAAUGGGCGGGAGCCUGAACCAGCCAAGCCGCGUGAGGGAAGAAGGUCCAGCGUAUCGUAAACCUCUUUUGUCAGGGAACAAAGGCGGGGACUCGUCCCCUGAUGCGUGUACCUUACGAACAAGCAUCGGCUAACUCCGGGCCAGCAGCCGCGGUAAUACGGAGGAUGCGAGCGUUAUCCGGAUUUAUGGGGUUUAAAGGGUGCGCAGGGGGCCUGUUAAGUCAGCGGGAAAAGCCCGGGGCUAAACCCCGGCUAGCCGUUGAAACUGGCGGGCUGGAGUGGGAGAGAGGGAGGCAGAAUGCGCGGUGUAGCGGUGAAAUGCUUAGAGAUCGCGCAGAACACCGAUUGCGAAGGCAGCGUACCGGAUGCAGACUGACGCUGAGGUACGAAAGCGUGGGUAUCGAACAGGAUUAGAUACCCUUGUAGUC